GGAAUAUUGGACAAUGGGCGCAAGCCUGAUCCAGCCAUGCCGCGUGAGUGAUGAAGGCCCUAGGGUUGUAAAGCUCUUUCGCCGGUGAAGAUAAUGACGGUAACCGGAGCAGAAGCCCCGGCUAACUUCGUGCCAGCAGCCGCGGUAAUCCGAAGGGGGCUAGCGUUGUUCGGAAUUACUGGGCGUAAAGCGCACGUAGGCGGAUUGUUAAGUCGGGGGUGAAAUCCCAGGGCUCAACCCUGGAACUGCCUCCGAUACUGGCCUUCUUGAGUCCGGGAGAGGUGAGUGGAAUUCCGAGUGUAGAGGUGAAAUUCGUAGAUAUUCGGAAGAACACCAGUGGCGAAGGCGGCUCACUGGCCCGGAACUGACGCUGAGGUGCGAAAGCGUGGGGAGCAAA
rnacentral:rRNA from 1 species